rnacentral:rRNA from 1 species
CCUCCGGGGGGCAGCAGUGGGGAAUAUUGCGCAAUGGGGGAAACCCUGACGCAGCAACGCCGCGUGAGUGAGGAAGGACUUCGGUCUGUAAAGCUCUGUUAAUGUGGAAAAAUGGUAGGCGGUCUAAUAGGCCGUUUAUUUGAUGGUACACAUAGAGGAAGCACCGGCUAACUUCGUGCCAGCAGCCGCGGUAAUACGAAGGGUGCAAGCGUUGUUCGGAUUUAUUGGGCGUAAAGCGCGCGUAGGCGGACCUGCAAGUCAGAUGUGAAAUCUCG